ensembl:lncRNA
UGGGCUUGCUGUCUUUUCAUCAAAACUCCUAGAAUUUGGCUGACAGCCUAGUUUAUCCCAGGACAUUAGUCAGCCCACAAAUCCCACAUUUGUUUAUUCAGCCUGGAGCAAGUGAAUACUGCCAUUCUCCCAUCUCCUUUGUUGGCAAAUGCUUUGUUAACCUGAAUUGAGUUCUGCAGCACAAAAUGAAGUGACUAAUCUCUUGGGGGUUUUCCCCUCCCAGGUUCUCGUAUGAGCAACUAGAUCUAUAGACCACAAAGCCCCACACUGUCGUUUUCCCUCAUACUGCCCUUUUAUUGUGACAGUUCCACAUCGUACUUAACGAAACCAAUACCUUCCAGAGUGUGGUUGAACUGGCGCCACCAUUAAGAAAAGGAGGUUACUGGACUUUUUAUUGUUGUGAGAAUAUGUUAGCGGUAAAGGGAUGUUGGGUUAAUUAUUUAUACUCACGCAGUCUACUACUGGCCAUUUGUAACAGUUGUCACCUUGUAGUCUCAGAAAGUUUUCCAGCUCUGAAUACAUGGGUCUGAAAGUGUAAAAAGUGGGAAUCUUAACUCAAAACAACCAGCUCAGAUGAGUACACGGUUAAUGUGUGGUAGAUCUGAAAUAUGAAACUGAAAAUAAUGUAUAUCCUUAUGCACUAGGCUGUUUGUCUAUCUACAAAUAUCUGUAAAGGCUUAAAUUUUUUAGUAAAAGUCUGAGGCUCUAAUCUGCUGAAUUGCCAUUGACCAUGAAAGAGUGGUUAGUUUUGGAAGACAACUGUGAUGCAACAUGGUACAAAACAGAGGAAAGGAUAAAGGAAAUCAUAAAGAUAAACCUUCUUGCUGUAAGCCUGAGGUAUUUUUAAAGCAUGGUGCACAUAGCAGCUGGGCAAACAAUUCUUGUUGAUCAUUGGGCCUGUAGAAAUUCUAUUCGGUUCAUAAAGCUUUGAUUCUGUGUUUACCAUUGAUAAUCUGUUUUUCUCUCUCCUCUUCCUCCAACUCUUAGCCAAAACUACCUUCCAGAUGACUUCUUCCUACCACACUCCUCCUCCUUAGAGUAAGAGAAUGUUUUUUUGGAUGCCUCUUUUAAAUUUGAAUCUCCCUAUAUAAAAAUAAUGAAAUGGGAUACAAGAUGGGGUACACAGAGUGACAACCCCACACCCAAGCCUCUGUCCUGCAGCUCCAUAAGCAGGGUUUUGCACUCUACACUCUUCUGGCAUAAUAACCUCUGACUAGCCCAUGUGUAAUGGAGCACAAACAGGAAUUUUAUUAGUUAACAGGUUCCCGAGCACACAGGCUUUUUUCUUGAAUUCACCACCAUAGCUGAGGACUAUUGAUGGGCAACAUAAAUUGUACACUCAAUAAGCUCCAUUAAAAGUGUUCCAUCAGAAAAAAAAAAAAGAGGGGGCUGGCCCGGUGGCACAGAGGUUAAGUUAGCACGUUCUGCUUCUCAGUGGCCCGGGGUUUGCCGGUUCGGAUCCCAGGUGCAGACAUGGCACCACGUGGCACACCAUGCUGUGGUAGGCAUCCCACAAAUAAAGUAGAGGAAGAUGGGCAUGGAUGUUAGCUCAGGGCCAGGCUUCCUCAGCAAAAAGAGGAGGACUGGCAGUAGUUAGCUCAGGGCUAAUCUUCCUCAAAAAAAAAAAAAAAAAAGUGUUCCAAUACUCUCAUCAAAGAAUUCCUAGGAUAGUGAAACAUUGAGAUAUAUAUGAUUGUACAGGUAUUGGGGUGAACAUUCUCUAAUGUCCAGAUGCCUCAGAUUUAGUGGUGGUAGAAUCUCAUUCAUUUUAUGAGAACCAAAUAAACUGUCUGUCCUGACAAUGGUUAGAAAGCAGGAUCAACUCUGCUUUAUGAACAUAUAAGACUGUAAAGCCAUUCAUUACAGUUAGGGCAUUGGAGUGGGGUGUGGGAUAGAGAUGCAUUAUUUUUCAUUGUGAUUUAGGUGACAGAAUGGGAGUCAGUAACAUUCUAGUUUGGAGGAACUAGAGUUUAUUGAUUCAUUGAUUGAUUCAUCAAAAUUUAUUGAAUGAUUUCUAUGUUUUAGGCACUGUAUUUGGUGCUGGGGACAAAAAGAUGAAUAAAGCAUGGUUCCCGCCCUCUAAAUGCCAAUAGCCCUUAGAGAAGACAUGUAAACAAAAAACUACUAUACAAUAUACGCAUUCCAAUCAAGGUAGGUAGGAAGGUCUAAGCACAAUUGAGUGGUCAAUUUCAGUUGCGGAGAGGGCUGUAACAGGGAAGAUUUCCCAGGGAAUGGGAUGUUUGGCUCAAUGAGUAAGCAUUCUUCAGAGAGACAAGGAAGAAUAAGGGCAUCCUGGACAGAGGGAGGAGUGUGUACAAAGGAAAAGUGACAUGUGACAAUAGAAUACACGGAGGAAACUACAAUCAGGCAGAGCUGAGGUGUGCGGCACGUGGUGAAGUGCUAUUUACGUCAUGGCCGUGGCGGUAGAAAUGUAGCAAAUGCCUGCUGCUGGGGCACAGAGAUGGACUAGGUUUCCUCAAAACAGUUCAUAUAUUCUUAUAAGCUAAGAUAGGUAUAAACAGGAGCUCACAGAACCAGAAACCGAUGCACCAGUAAGUGACCUAAAAUGGCAUUUUGUCCAGGGUGGUUGUAGAUUUCGCCUGACCCAGAAGAUCUGAAUUUGGGAGGUAGACCUAGCGUAGCUGGCAGCUGUCUUGUGACACAUGGGGUCUGAAAGCAGAGCCAAUGUAGAAGGACAUAGCAGACAGAUGGGAGAAGAUUAGAUCCUGGUGACUAGCCCGGAUCAAGCCCCUGGAUUAAGCCACCCCUGAAAAAUGUCUAUUUCUGGACUCUUUAUUUACAAGUGAUAAGUCAGUUUGAAUUUUUUGAUCACGUCAGUUUGAUUCUUUUAUUUAUUUUUUGUCAAUUGAAACCUGACAGAUACAUCUGGCCUCUUCAUUUUACAGUUCAGAUGCUAAUAUCCAGUAUGACAGAGUGACUCACUGUCAAGUGGCUAGUUAAAAACUGAGACUAGAACCCAGGCCUCUUGACUCCAGCGUUUUUAAAGCACCUGCAUGGAAGGGCCUAAAUAUAUACGUACCUAGAAAUCUGUUUUGCAGUAACCACAUACUUGAGAGUGUGAUUGAAUUUAGUUCAAAAAUUUCAUUCCUAAGUAACAAUGUUGUGGAAAGAGCAUUCAACCAACAGUCUGGCAUUAUUGGUUCAUGGCCUGCUUUUGCCACUAAUGAUCUUUGUGACCUUGGGCAUGUCUCUCCUGGCCUCAAUUGUUCGUGGGAUGUGAUUAUCUCCAAAUCGUCUUUCAUUUCUGUGAUUCUAAGCAUAAGUGCACUCAAUUUUCAAUUAUCUAUUGUGGAUCUUACAUAUUUCUACAUACUCUGGGGAAAUCUUCGUUCUCGAUUGUUUUUUAUAUUAUUGAAUAAAUCCUAUUACAACCAUUUACCGAACACGGAUGAUUGGCUUGGUGUCGCGAAAGUGAAUAGUCAUUUCUAGUCUGUAUUGCUUACUUAAUUUGCCUUCUCAGACACAGUUCGAUAUUAUUUGUAGCCCCAAAGUAUUAAACCAUGCCUUCUAAUCCAGGGAAUGUGUAAUCCCAGAGAAGAGCAGGAUCAGAGACUGUUCCUGUGCAUCAGUGGGAGCGGUGACGACAUGAGUGUCCAGCUGUCAGAGGGAGGGGUAGAGCAGAGUCCUGAAAAGCGCAGGCAGACUGGGAGCCAAAUGUGUGGACAAAGGCGCUUGCCUGCCCAAAUAGAGUUGGCGUUGGAUCAUAAGUCUCUGGAAGAUCCUCCUCACAGUCAUCACUGUGGAUAACUUUGGGUCCUUUCAGAGUGGUCGCCUUGGAGGUUAAUAACAACUCGUUAACAUUUUUCUUGGUAUGAUGUUAGGAAGCACUUAAUUGCUCGAAGGAUUCUUUUGGAUGAUAUUUUUGUAAUAUCGCACUUAAUUGGAUUCACCGAACUAAGUUUCCAGCUUGUGUAAAGAUCAGCCUGGUCUGUUUCUCAGCCUGUCUACAUUUGAACAGUUCCACUGGCUGGAAAGUGACCCUGGUACUCUGCAAACCCACUUGGGGAGUUUUGGGGAGGGGCUAAGAUAGCAGCUCUGCAGUUUGCUAGAACCAGAUUCCAUUUCCUCUCUAAUCAUUUUUGCCUGUGUGACCCUCUAUACAUAACUUAAAUUCUCUAAGCUUUAGUUUUGUCAUUAGUAAAAUGGGAAUAACAGUAUCUUCCUCAAAGGAUUACCUAACCCAGUGAUUAUUUAUCGCAUAAGCCUAAGUAAAUGUUAUUAGACAAUAUAGUAUUAGUGAGGUUUUCUUUAGACUGUGCUCAAGUGAUGUAUUAGGUUCCAAAGAAGAAAAAUGACAGGAACACAAGACAAUCUAACUUAUAACGCGGGUACACAAUAUGGAGACUCUCCACAGUUUGGUCAUUUCGUUUGAAAGAUAAAGUGGUAGGAUUUGUCUUGUUAAUUACUCCCUUGCUUUGAAACUUUGGGGAAAUUAUUUGACCUCUCUACACUUCUAUUUAUUCAUAGUUAAAUUGAGGAUAAUAUUGCUAUCUUAUUUCAUAGAAGCUGAAAGGAGAUAAUGAAUAUGAAAGUCUUUAUGAGAGUAGAAAACAUGAAUGUGAAAGUUCAUGCUAAUAUGGUACAAUUAACAUUAAAGUUAAUAUUAUCACAGACCAUUCUUUUUUUGCAUGGUACAAAUUGUUUUAUACCUAUACUGGCCCCUGACACUUAUUAAAAUAUUAUUUUCUCUGCUUAUCAAUUUCUGUGAGGCUAAUACUGCCUUCACACUUUAUAAAGGGACCUAGAAAAGCAAUAUUUUGUCAGAUAUUUCAGGCAAAAGAAUAAAAAGAGAACAGUUAUAACUGUGGAAAUUAGGUAGCUAUUGUCAAUAUUUUUUUCUGCCAAGAAAAUAGUCUUUUCCCUCCCAAGAACUAUUAAUUUUGAGGGAAAUAUUUUCACUAUUCAAAAAGAUUAGCUGGAACAUGUGUCAAACUAUUACUUACCUCUGCAAAAUAUUUCUAAGGGCAUCUGUGUAUGCAAAAAUCCCCCAGCAUUUUCACAUCAAGCCACGUGUAUUUAAUAUACACCACCUCAAAGUGGAACAAUGCUGUAGUGAGGAAAAAACAGAGGGAUUUCUAAGAAUAUAUGGGUGUAAUUUUCUGUUAACUGAGAGUGAUUGACAGUUCGUGGAAAUCUACCUCCAAAAUAACCUGCUUGCAGCACCCUUAGUUUUAGUUGGUAUGAAGGAAGCUGCUUGCGGCUUAUCCAUUUAGCUUCCAGAAACUCUCUUUUCCAUCCUAAUUGCUUAAAUCUCUAUGGACAUAUGUAAAAAUCUCUGUUUAUUUAAUGUAGUUUUUUUUAAACUGGUGUUUUUUCUAUUUUUAUUUGAGAGUUGUUGAAAUAAUAUCGUGUAUGUAGAAGUACAAUGUAGUCUAGAUCUAAAGUCAUUAUACAUAAAUAGAGAGUUUUAAUAAAAUUUGAGGGCCUAGAAUUUUCAGAUCCUGUUUUCCAAGGAAGGAGUUUGGUUUCAUCCCAUGUGCAUGGACAAAGAGCAACUGUAUUGUACUGUAAAAAUAGGAGUUUCCAAGUAAGAAAGAGGACUUAGAAGAAAAGGUCAAGUCAAAAUUACCUUAUUUGCAGAACUUGGUUUAAGGGGGGUUAUGAAACUAUGACUAAAUAAUGUCUUUGAUGAAGGAGGUGGGGGGAGGGGGAGAAGCCCCACAGAGACGAACGUGGUCGCUUUGAGAUACAAAGCACACUGUAAGGAAACUGCAGGCUUCAUAUAUGUUUCCUUUUGCCUCCCAGUUAAAAUCCUCGUGCACGCCGACACUCUCAGCAUGUUGCUCGCUCAGAAGUCACAGCUGGGAGCUGGAAGCUAGGAGUGGAGUAGGCUGGGGAAUGAGUUUCUUGGGAUCAUUUUGCUUUUCUUUCUUUUCUUUUCUUUUCUUUUUUUUGUGAGGAAGAUUGGCCCUGAACUAACAUCUGUGCCAAUCUUCCUCUAUUUUGUAUGUGGGAUGACACCACAGUGUGCCUUGAUGAGCAGUGUGUAUGCUGGCACUCAGGAUCUGAACCCACCUGGCCUAUGGAAGCCGCUGGAACUUAAACACUAGGCCACGAGGCUGGCGCUUGUUAUGUAUAUUUAAUGCAUAUAAAAGUAUUAGUUUUCCAUCUAUGGCAGUGACAUAAAGUUUCUUAUUUAAAUACUUUACUUAAAUUAAAAGUGUGAGAUUUAAAGACAAGUAUUAAUAAGAGUUCUGGAAAAACAGGUAUGGCAAAAAACAUGAAGUGGCAUGUGAACAGUCGAGAGUUUAGGAAGCUCCCGUUAUAGACUCCAGUCUAUCUCCUCCCUUAUCCCUGGGCCCGUAAACUCGUUAGACUCUCAAGAGUCAGGAUGUCCUUUCUAUGUUGGCCUUUACCCUAAGAAUGCCAGGCAGGGGCCGGCCUGGUGGCGCAGUGGUUAAGCAUGCACGUGCAGCUUUCACGGCCCUCGUUCAUCGGUUCAGAUCAUGGGUGUGGACAUGGCACUGGGUGGCAAGCCAUGCUGUGCUAGGCAUCCCACAUAUAAAGUAGAGGAAGAUGGGCACGGAUGUUAGCUCAGGGCCAGUCUUCCUCGGAAAAAAGAGGAGGAUUGGCAGAUGUUAGCUCAGGGCUAAUCUUCCUUGGGAAAAAAAGAAAGAAAGAAAAAAAAGAAAAAGAAUGUCAGGCAAUGAUGAGGAAACACACCUCAGGAGAUUCUAGGCGAUCUUUAAGCUAGAGAGUUGUGAUGAAUACAAAAGAAGGAGGCACAGGGUAUGACUGAAGUAGAGAAAAGGACAUUGAGACUCAGCAGUUGGGAUCUGAGAGCAGAAGCUAGCCAAGUGAAGAAGAAGAAAGGAAUGACGUAUUCCAAGCUCAUUUAUUAAACCGCAGCUCCAAGUUGUGAGCUUUGGGGGGGUCUUAAUUUGGGGGAGGUGGGAAGGACUAGGCUAUCUGUAACUUCGUUCCUCACACAGGCUCUCAAGGGUAUGUAGCUUCUGUUACUGCUUCCCCUGCAAAGGACGGAAGGAACAAGGUGAUGGUCUCCCCUCUGACCCCACCCAAGGACCAAUGGGGCAACAGCAAAAGAGGUGGACCACCUAAGGGACCACUACCCACCUAAAAUAAAGGAGUGGGAACGAGAAGGAAUUUCUCCUUUAUUUAAUACAUUGCAGACAUGUUUCAUUUUAUUGUCUGGGGGGUGUCUUAGAGCAGGGAAACUGCGUUUCUAAGAAUGGGGCUCUGUGCAAACUUCUGCAAUACUGGGAGGGGUGAGGCGAGGGAGCGAUGCUGGAAAUCUUGCUCCUCUCCGAAGGGUUGGCGGCUUUCCUUCUUAAGUCAGG